UGUAAAGAGACAGCAGUAGCCGCGGGAAUACGAAGGGUGCAAGCGUUACUCGGAAUUACUGGGCGUAAAGCGUGCGUAGGUGGUGGUUUAAGUCCGUUGUGAAAGCCCUGGGCUCAACCUGGGAAUUGCAGUGGAUACUGGGUCACUAGAGUGUGGUAGAGGAUAGUGGAAUUUCCGGUGUAGCAGUAAAAUGCGUAGAGAUCGGAAGGAACAUCUGUGGCGAAGGCGACUAUCUGGGCCAACACUGACACUGAGGCACGAAAGCGUGGGGAGCAAACAGGAUUAGAUACCCCGGUAGUCCCUGUCUCUUAUAC
rnacentral:rRNA from 1 species